rnacentral:rRNA from 1 species
GACGAACGCUGGCGGCGUGCUUAACACAUGCAAGUCGAACGGAAAGGCCCUGCGUUUGUGGGGUGCUCGAGUGGCGAACGGGGGAGUAAAACGCGAGUGUCCUGUCCUUGGGUUUGGGGGAACUUCAGGGAACUGGGGUUAAUACCGGAUAUGAGCUCCUGCUGCUGGGUGGGGGUGGGGAAGUUUGGGUGGUUGGGGUUGGGCUCGCGGCUUGUCAGCUUGUUGGUGGGGUGAUGUCUUGCCAAGGCUUUGCUGGGUGGCCGGCCUGGGAGGGUGGCCGGCCACAUUGGGACUGGACUACGGCACGGACUACUACGGGAGGGAGCAGAGGGGAAUAGUGCACAAUGGACGGAAGCCUGAUGCAGCACCGCCGCGUGCGGGAUGACGACCUUCGUGUUGUAAACCACAUUCCCCUGUGACGGAGCGUGAAUGACGGUAAUGGAUAAAGAAGCACCGGCUAACUACGUG